ACCAAAUAAGUUCCAAAAAAUGUCCAGAAGGGCUCCAAAACUCGAUGCAAAAGCCGCUCCAACACCUCCACACUCAACGCCACGUGCUACCCACAGGCUCCAGCAUGCAUGGGGCGGCGCUAUAAACCUCCCAGGUGAAAUGCAUCCUGAGGAAACUUGCUUUGUAUUGCAACAUUUUUUUGUAAACCGAGGCAUUAUUUUCAAUGGAUUUUUAUUUGUAAACCGAAAAUUAUGUUAACCGAGGCGUUUGUAAACCGAGGUCCC